ACGUAGAUUAGUAAAAUGGAUUAAUUCUACAGGCAGUUACAGGAUCAUUAAAAGCUGAAUCCUUCCAGGUGGAUGAGCAGAUUUUGACCCCUCCAACAUUUAAAACUCAUCUCUUUAACAUCCUUUAUCAUAGUGACCGUUUAUUUUGUUUUGCUGAUUUUUACUGCUUUUGUUUGUUGAGAUUUUGUAUUACCUUUAUUUAUUCCAAAUGGGUGGCAUUUUCUUACUUUCCUGCUUGUGUUGUCAGGUUAUGUUCUCUACAUUUAAAGUUGCAUUCAGGUAAAAAUGAUUUCUGCUGUUCAUCAGGAUAAUCAGGAUGCUGAGCGGUUUGUUUCUUGAAGAGAACAAUAAAUGAUUCAGAACGUUUGUAAGUCGAAACAAAUGCACUUAUAUCACAUUUUGUCUUCAGUCUAGAGUUUCCUUCAGAAUAUUUCUUUCUUUCUAAAUGUGCACAAGUAACUGCAACUGCAGGAAAGUUGGGUUUUUGUUCUCAUACAUUUGUAUAUUCAACUGAAGAACAAAACGGCAGCGAAGAACCAACUUUGCUGAAACUGGAUCUGCAUCCAAACCAGGUCUGAACCGUUAAACGGUCAUAACAUCUGUAAACAAACUGAUCUGCUGAAAAGUCGUGUUCUGCUCUCAUGAAGAUCUCUGAACGUUUAGACAGGCCGUGUGUCUCUGACCUCCAGCUGUUUCCAGAAGCUUCAUCUGAGCUGAAAUCAUCCAGGAAGUCUGGGAAUGAAGCUGCUCUCUGCUGGACUGGGGCGGAGACGCGGUUCUGCCAGGUACGGCCCGAGUAAAGUUUGAGCCGUCGGGUUAAAUUUCUGUUGGUCUGACGCUCAGGAGUCCACAGAGGAUCAUCCUCCUGAACCAGCCGGUUUAUACGCCCAGAUUUUACAAAGUACGUUCAUGCUAACACAGGAAACGGUUUUUAUACGCGUUUUUAUUCCCAAAAUGGGAAACGCUAAUAAACGAAUGCUGAUUCA